rnacentral:rRNA from 1 species
AUGAACGCUGGCGGCGUGCCUAAUACAUGCAAGUCGAGCGAACAGACGAGGAGCUUGCUCCUCUGACGUUAGCGGCGGACGGGUGAGUAACACGUGGAUAACCUACCUAUAAGACUGGGAUAACUUCGGGAAACCGGAGCUAAUACCGGAUAAUAUAUUGAACCGCAUGGUUCAAUAGUGAAAGACGGUUUUGCUGUCACUUAUAGAUGGAUCCGCGCCGCAUUAGCUAGUUGGUAAGGUAACGGCUUACCAAGGCAACGAUGCGUAGCCGACCUGAGAGGGUGAUCGGCCACACUGGAACUGAGACACGGUCCAGACUCCUACGGGAGGCAGCAGUAGGGAAUCUUCCGCAAUGGGCGAAAGCCUGACGGAGCAACGCCGCGUGAGUGAUGAAGGUCUUCGGAUCGUAAAACUCUGUUAUUAGGGAAUAACAAAUGUGUAAGUAACUAUGCACGUCUUGACGGUACCUAAUCAGAAAGCCACGGCUAACUACGU